rnacentral:rRNA from 1 species
CUGAAUGGGGCAACCCAGCAUGUUGAAGACAUGUUAUCCGAAAGGAGGCGAACCCGGGGAACUGAAACAUCUAAGUACCCGGAGGAAUAGAAAACAAUAGUGAUUCCGUUAGUAGCGGCGAGCGAACGCGGAAAAGCCCAAACCAGUCUUGUUACGGCAAGGCUGGGGUUGUAGGACCACGACAUUCGAUGCUUUAUGAACUGGAAACUGCUGGAAAGUGGUACCAUAGAGGGUGAUAGUCCCGUACAGGUAAAGACAGUUAUUGAUAGUGGUAUCCUGAGUAGCACGGGGCACGGGAAACCUUGUGUGAAUCUACCAGGACCAUCUGGUAAGGCUAAAUACUUCUGAGAGACC